GUGCCAGCAGCCGCGGUAAUACGGAGGGUGCAAGCGUUGUUCGGAAUUAUUGGGCGUAAAGGACGCGUAGGCGGUAGUGAUAGUCAGAUGUGAAAUCCUUCGGCUCAACUGAAGAACUGCAUCUGAAACUUCACAACUCGAGUACAGGAGAGGGAAACGGAAUUCCCGGUGUAGAGGUGAAAUUCGUAGAUAUCGGGAGGAACACCAGUGGCGAAGGCGGUUUCCUGGCCUGAUACUGACGCUGAGGCGUGAAAGCGUGGGGAGCAAACAGGAUUAGAUACCCUGGUAGUCCACGCGGUAAACGGUGAACACUAGGUGUGGGAGGUGUAAUACCUUCUGUGCCGAAGCUAACGCGUUAAGUGUUCCGCCUGGGAAGUACGGCCGCAAGGUUGAA
rnacentral:rRNA from 1 species